UACAGAGGUCUCGAGCGUUGUUCGGAUUCAUUGGGCGUAAAGGGUGCGUAGGUGGCGAUGUAAGUCUGGUGUGAAAUCUCGGAGCUCAACUCCGAAAUUGCAUUGGAUACUGCGUUGCUUGAGGAUUGUAGAGGAGAGUGGAAUUCGCGGUGUAGCAGUGAAAUGCGUAGAUAUCGUGAGGAAGACCAGUUGCGAAGGCGACUCUCUGGGCAAUUCCUGACACUGAGGCACGAAGGCCAGGGGAGCAAACGGG
rnacentral:rRNA from 1 species